rnacentral:rRNA from 1 species
CUACGGGCUGCUGCAGUGGGGAAUAUUGCACAAUGGGCGCAAGCCUGAUGCAGCCAUGCCGCGUGUAUGAAGAAGGCCUUCGGGUUGUAAAGUACUUUCAGCGGGGAGGAAGGGAGUAAAGUUAAUACCUUUGCUCAUUGACGUUACCCGCAGAAGAAGCACCGGCUAACUCCGUGCCAGCAGCCGCGGUAAUACGGAGGGUGCAAGCGUUAAUCGGAAUUACUGGGCGUAAAGCGCACGCAGGCGGUUUGUUAAGUCAGAUGUGAAAUCCCCGGGCUCAACCUGGGAACUGCAUCUGAUACUGGCAAGCUUGAGUAUCGUAGAGGGGGGUAGAAUUCCAGGUGUAGCGGUGAAAUGCGUAGAGAUCUGGAGGAAUACCGGUGGCGAAGGCGGCCCCCUGGACGAAGACUGACGCUCAGGUGCGAAAGCGUGGGGAGCAAACAGGAUUAGAUACCCGAGUAGUC